rnacentral:rRNA from 1 species
GUAGUCUCGCACAGAUGCAUAUCAAUAAGCGGAGGAAAAGAAACUAACAAGGAUUCCCCUAGUAACGGCGAGUGAAGCGGGAAGAGCUCAAAUUUGAAAUCUUAAAGGGUUUCCCUUUACGAAUUGUAGUUUAAAGAAGUGUUUUCUGUUGAGGUUUUGGUAAAAGUUCUUUGGAAUAGGACAUCAUAGAGGGUGAGAAUCCCGUAUUUGACCUUUACUUUCAACUUUGUGAUACACUUUCAAAGAGUCGGAUUGUUUGGGAAUGCAGUCCAAAAUGGGUGGUAGAUUUCAUCUAAAGCUAAAUAUUGGCGAGAGACCGAUAGCGAACAAGUACCGUGAGGGAAAGAUGAAAAGAACUUUGAAAAGAGAGUUAAACAGUACGUGAAAUUGUCAAAAGGGAAGCGUUUGACACCAGUGUUGUUUUUCUGAAAAUCAAUUAAAGAACUGUUUAUGCUAAGCUUGUUUAGACUUUAUCAGCUAUCUGUUUAGUUUUGAGCUUUUCUUUAAUGCACUUUUCAGUUAACAAGUCAACAUCAAUUUCUUUUGCUGUAAAAAAGCUUGAGGAAGGUGGCUUGAGAUUCGUCUUAAGUGUUUAUAGCCUCUUGCCUAUGCAGUCGGAGAGAUUGAGGUCUGCAGCGUAGAUCCUUCGGGGCUAAAUGCAUUUGUGCUAAGUUAUAGCAUUUUAUAGACAACUUGUUGACUAUGAUUUGUCUUGUAGCUUACUCGCUUAUGUUAUUUUACCUACGCUUAGGAUGUUGACGCAUGAGAUAUACGC